CCACAGGGGAUCCAACUGAGUGGGUCAGAGGGUGGAACCCAGGAACCUGCAUUUUGGAAGGGAGGGAGGGAGAAAGAAAGGAAGGAGGGAGAGAGGAGGAAGGGAGAAGGGAGGGAGGGAAGAGGGAGGGAGGGAGGGAGGGAAAAAGGGAGGGAGGGAGAGAAGGAGGGAGGGAGGGAGGGAGAGAAAGGGAGGGAGGGAGGGAGGUGAAACCCAGUUUGUAAGCAUCAGAACCGACCGCUGAGACUCACAGCAGACGACAGAUGAGAGAGCACAUUUUUCAGAUCCGGAUCCCAGCACAUCAGUGUCAAACGCUGCAACCCUGAAGGUGUCGUGGCACGAAGCUUGUGCCGGCAACGCCCGAAGCCAGUGCGAUCUCAGAUCCCGGAGAAGCAGAGCCUGGGUCGGGGGCUGUCCCCAUGGAGGGCCCUGCUGCUCCCCCGUCAUCACCCGCACGCCCCACAGCUGCCUCUGCGGCCGGGGACUCCCCUGGCACGUGCCCAGAGCCCGACCUGCCUGUCUCAGCCUGAGGAGCUCUGCCUGUUGUGCCUGGACUGCCAGGACCCCUGCCUGCUCUUUCCAGAAACGUCUGUGCUCCACAUCCUUCAGGACGGUGGCUUUUGACCCCGACCAGCCCUCUGCUCUUGACUAUGUUUCACGGAUCUCUUCCAUGAUGCUGGAGCUGAUAUAGACAUUGGCCGAUUCUGCGCGUCUGCUACAGGCUGGUGGCUGGGCUGGGGAAGGGCAGGAGGGGGACAGCAAGGAGGCAGAGGGGCCAGCAGGGAUGCUGCCAAUGCAAGCCCAGCGCACCUCUCUGGGGACUUGUCCCUGUCUUCAUGGUCUUCCUACUGUUACCCUAUUUUCAUUUUCAUACAUAUAUACACAGAUGCACGUAUACGUGUGUGUGAGAGAGAUACUGAUCAAAUCUUUUGUAAACUGAGAUGCAGCUAACACGCUAUGACAGAUCACACGAGACACACACCAAGCUGCGGCUGUCACGGCCGCUGACGCGGUUGAUUAACAGUAGGCGCUCACUGGACAGCGGGACUUUCAUGAUCUCCAUGUUCGCAGAAGGACGAGUGCACAAGCUGUGGCCGCGUGCUCAGCACGAGGUGGCUGAGGACGCAACGCUCAAGCUUGUCUGUCUCUAAACCCCGGGCUCCCCCACUGUGACGGGCCCGCCCCUCUCGAAUGCUGUCUCAAGUGCAUUGCUCUUCCAGCACCCGGGGCGACUCAUUAUGCUUUGCUACCAAGGGGCAGAGGUUCCUCUGCAGAGGCUGGUGCCAAAGCACUGUGCACGGGGGCCGGCGCUGUGGCGUAGCGGGCUAAGCCUCUACCUGCAGCCCCAGCAUCUCCUACAGGCAUCAGUUCGUGUCCUGGCUGCCCUUCUUCCAAUCCAGCUCCCUGCUCACGUGCCUGGGAAAGCAGCAGAAGAUGGCCCAGGUGCUUGAGCCCCUGUACACAUGUGGGAGACCAGGAAGAAGCUCCUGGCACCUGGCUUUGGCCUGGCCCAGCCCUGGCCAUUGCAGCCAUUUGUGGAGUGAACCAGUGGAUGGAAGAUCAAUCUCUCUCUCUCUCUCUCUCUCUCUGUAACUCUGCAUCUCAAGUAAAUAAAUUAAUCCCCCCCCCAAAAAAAAAGAAAGAG
rnacentral:lncRNA from 1 species